UCUCUGAAAUUGUAGAAUUGAGGACAGAGCUGCAGAAAAAAGCUUUUCAUAUAACUGUCACUGAAUUACACCGCCAGCGACAUGGAUUCCAAUUCUGCUUCUGCACUCGAUGAUGAUCCUUCCGAGGAUUUUGAGAUUACAGGGCUGCACGACAAGCUCAAUUUAGGGCACACUCCGUCCUCUUCUCCCCCCUUCAUCGCUCGCAAGAAAAGACGCGCCAGCACCACCCUCAUCUCCAUCUCUCCCGAAAACUUCCGCCAGGUAGUUAUUCAAUUCAGCAACGGUCGUUUCCCUUUCAUCUCACACUGUUCCCUCUUCCCUCCCAGCUACGAAUUCUCCAAACAAGAACUGGUUUCUCUGUGGGUAGCCCAGGGACUCUUACAGUGCUCCACCAGGCAGCAGGAGCACGAUGCAGCCCAAGUCUUCGAUUCGCUCGUCUCCAGCCAAGUUAUUGUUCCCUCGAGAUCUGAUCCGUCCGUGGAUUUCGUCCACGGGAAGACGAGGAGGUUACUCUAUAGAAUCAACCAGGAUAAGAUCACGUUCUCAGUGCUUGAAUACCAUAUGGUAUUGGAUGCAAAUUGGGAUAAAGUACCUAAGAAUGUGAAGCAUUUGUCAGUGGAUUCAAAGAGUGUGGCUUGCGCCUCGGGUUUUGAUGUAAUUGAGAGGUUUGAAAAUCUGAACACGCUAUUUCUUGUUCCUGUGCCUGGGUUUUAUGUUGAACGCAUUCCGCGAAAUCUUUUCUUGUGCCUUAAGGGAUUGAGGUCUUUGAAUUUUAGUAGGAAUCUUAUAUCAGAGCUGCCGAGUUCUAUCGGGAGUUUGAAAUCGCUUCGGUAUCUUGAUUUGUCUUAUACGCCCAUUAAACGCUUGCCUGAUUCGCUAGUUAGUCUUUGUAAUUUGCAAACUCUUAGGCUUAGGGGAUGUUUAGAGUUAGUUGGGUUGCCUAAAGGGAUUGGGAAGCUCAUUAGUUUGAGGCAUCUUGAGCUUGAUGUUGUGAGGCAACUGAAAUCAAUGCCUCCUUGGAUGGGUAAUUUGAUCAAUCUUCAAACUCUGCCGGCAUUUCUUGUUGGCAAGGAUGAUGGGUGCCGGAUUGUGGAGUUAAAGAAAAUGAUCAAUCUUACGGGUGCAUUUUGCAUUUCGAGAAUUGAGAAUGUCUCUGAGUUUUGAGGAAGCAAUGGAAGCUGAUUUGAGCAGCAAGAAGUUCCUUUGUAGGAUACUGUUAAGAUGGACCGAGCCAAGGGUUGCCGAUGCUAGGAAAGAAGAGCAAAUCCUUGAAUGCUUAAGACCCCCUCUGGGCCUUGAAGAGUUGGCAUUGCUAUGCUAUGGUGGUUCUAAGCUUCCGAGUUGGAUUGCUGAUCCUUGUUAUGAUUGUAUGGUUGAUAUGACUCUACAUAACUGUUUGAAUUGUGAACACCUUGAGCCCAUUGGUAAAUUGCCAUGUCUUCAAUUUUUGCAUAUCAAAGAAAUGUGUAAGCUUCAGAGAAUAGAUGAAAGAUUCUGUAGAGAUGGAAAAGGUCAACAGUCUCAUGCGUUUCCGACCUUGAAAGAACUUACAAUUGAGGCCAUGCCUAAAUUGGAAGAGUGGGUAGGAGUUCAAGGUGGUGACUUCCCAUGUUUACAAAAGCUUAAGGUGGAACAUUGCCCCAGCUUAGCCUCGCUUCCACUGCUGUCAUGCCUCUAUUCGCUUAAGCAUUUAGAAAUGAAUGAUUGUCCUGUUAUUUCAUCUUUGCCUGACGGAGGAGUAUCUGCAUCUCUUGAAUUUCUCUUUAUCAGAGAUUGCUCUGAGCUGAUGAAAAAUUGCAGCAAAACAGAAGGAAAAGAUUGGGUUAAGAUAGCUCAUGUUUCCAAUGUAUUUAUUGAUGAUGAACAACUCUCUUUUAAUUGAUAAUGGCUUUAAGCAGGUAACUUCUAAGUGCUGGUGAUAGAGUGAAAGAGAAUCAAGAAUCUGUUAGAAUAACAGAUUCUGUAUCAAGUAGUUUUACUUUCCAUUCGUUAGUUAGUUAUAGAUAGAUAGUGUUAAGACUAUAUAUUGAAGUUGCAACAAUUCAAUGCAACUUCACUCAUCAAUUCUCUUAUUUCUUCAUUUUUUUCUCUUCUGUUCCAUAAACUCAUCUCCUACAGCUGGUGAAUCUAGCUUCUAAACUAUGCUGUCAAAAUCUUGUAUACAUGUGAUUAAUCUUCCCGGAA